rnacentral:rRNA from 1 species
ACACUCCUACGGGAGGCAGCAGUGGGGAAUUUUGGACAAUGGGCGAAAGCCUGAUCCAGCAAUGCCGCGUGAGUGAAGAAGGCCUUCGGGUGGUAAAGCUCUUUUGUCAGUGAAGAAACGGUGAAAGCUAAUAUCUUUUGCUAAUGACGGUACCUGAAGAAUAAGCACCGGCUAACUACGUGCCAGCAGCCGCGGUAAUACGUAGGGUGCAAGCGUUAAUCGGAAUUACUGGGCGUAAAGCGUGCGCAGGCGGUUUUGUAAGUCUGAUGUGAAAUCCCCGGGCUCAACCUGGGAAUUGCAUUGGAGACUGCAAGGCUAGAAUCUGGCAGAGGGGGGUAGAAUUCCACGUGUAGCAGUGAAAUGCGUAGAUAUGUGGAGGAACACCGAUGGCGAAGGCAGCUCCCUGGGUCAAGAUUGACGCUCAUGCACGAAAGCGUGGGGAGCAAACAGGAUUAGAAACCCCAGUAGUCCC